CGGUAAUCAGGGACGACAUUUCGCGCCAUUUCCGGUUCAAAGGUGAACAAUCUUGUUCACCACCUUGCCUGAGAGGUGUCAGAGACGAACAAGGACUCGAAGAAGCUGUACAGAAAGGUGUCUCUGGGCACGCCGAACUUGACCUUGGCGUGGUGGACCAGAGAGUCGAUUGAGUUGAUGUGGCUCUCGAGUCUCUUGACCGUGAGGAAGGCGGAGAGGUUGGCGGUGUAGGUGGACACCACGAUCAGGGCGAACAGCCACAGGCCCGCCGCCAGGAUACGGGCUGGGAUGGACCGAGGGGCCGGCUCACCUCCUAGGGAAAUGGUUAGAAAGGUAUUUCAAAAGAGAGCGGCGCAGAAUGAAGCAAACUCGUCUCAACAAACCUGGCUUUUGCGGUGAGGUACAGCAGCAGGGCGAUCCCCAUCACAGCGCCCAGGAUGGUGAGCCAGAGGAUCGGCUCGAACGGCAUGAGGAAGGAGAAGAUGUCCACGUCUUCACUCGGCGUCUUCAUCAUCAUGUCAGUCCCAACGUGCAGGUACUUCGCAAGGGACGUGCCCAGACGAAAGAGCAGCGAAUUCUUUGCUUCGGAGUUCAAAUUUGCACCUCAAUUUGCUCGUAACCGGAAGAACAAGAUAGUGCAAUUUCCCAGGUGGAUUAUUGUUUUGGGCUCUGUCUGACACGACCGAUGGUGACCUUGCGUGAUACCACAGGAUUUGCCGGAGCUUUUGAAGACAAUAUCUGAUACCAGGGGAAUGGGACUUGCAAAGGCUGUCUUUAUCUCCCAGUAACCCAUUAUACACCAUG